rnacentral:rRNA from 2 species
GAGAUGAUGAUUGUCGGUUCGGCCGGAUCGGUGACAGGUGCUGCAUGGCUGUCGUCAGCUCGUGUCGUGAGAUGUUGGGUUAAGUCCCGCAACGAGCGCAACCCUCGCCCUUAGUUGCCAUCAUUAAGUUGGGCACUCUAAGGGGACUGCCGGUGAUAAGCCGAGAGGAAGGUGGGGAUGACGUCAAGUCCUCAUGGCCCUUACGGGCUGGGCUACACACGUGCUACAAUAGUGGUGACAGUGGGCAGCGAGACCGCGAGGUCGAGCUAAUCUCCAAAAGCCAUCUCAGUUCGGAUUGCACUCUGCAACUCGAGUGCAUGAAGUUGGAAUCGCUAGUAAUCGUGGAUCAGCAUGCCACGGUGAAUACGUUCCCGGGCCUUGUACACACCGCCCGUCACACCAU